UUUAAUUGCAGUUGUGGGUUUUAGUGUUUAAUGUUUGUCCGUCUUAUUUAAAUUAUUUUAUAAUUACUAUUUAUAUUGUUAUUAGAUGAUAAAAUAUGAAUAUUACUCAUGCAUGAAUCAAGUUUUUGAUUUUUUUUAUAAUUUCUUUAAAUAAGACAGACGGUUAAACGUUUGGUACAGAAACCCACGACUGUACUAAAA
rnacentral:pre_miRNA from 1 species